GUGUGAAAAACUCCGGUGGUAUAAGAUGGACCCGCGUUGGAUUAGCUAGUUGGUGAGGUAACGGCCCACCAAGGCGACGAUCCAUAGCCGACCUGAGAGGGUGACCGGCCACAUUGGGACUGAGACACGGCCCAAACUCCUACGGGAGGCAGUAGUGGGGAAUAUUGCACAAUGGGCGAAAGCCUGAUGCAGCGACGCCGCGUGAGCGAAGAAGUAUUUCGGUAUGUAAAGCUCUAUCAGCAGGGAAGAUAAUGACGGUACCUGACUAAGAAGCACCGGCUAAAUACGUGCCAGCAGCCGCGGUAAUACGUAUGGUGCAAGCGUUAUCCGGAUUUACUGGGUGUAAAGGGAGCGCAGGCGGUGCGGCAAGUCUGAUGUGAAAGCCCGGGGCUCAACCCCGGUACUGCAUUGGAAACUGUCGUACUAGAGUGUCGGAGGGGUAAGCGGAAUUCCUAGUGUAGCGGUGAAAUGCGUAGAUAUUAGGAGGAACACCAGUGGCGAAGGCGGCUUACUGGACGAUAACUGACGCUGAGGCUCGAAAGCGUGGGGAGC
rnacentral:rRNA from 1 species